AUGUAUUGUAAUUCCUACAACGUUAAUGCACUGGAUCUCAUUAGAACUCCGUAGUUAAAUGUGCUUGGGCUAGAGCAGUACUAAGAUGGAUGACCUCCUCGGAAGUCCUAGUGUUUUACAUG
rfam:Picea glauca, whole genome shotgun sequence.